rnacentral:lncRNA from 1 species
GGCCGCCUCCUCGCGCUAGAGAAGGACCACCAUCAGAAAUUUUGCAGUCGGUGUUCAAACACCAUUCGGGCAACACCUAAGGUUUGCCAGGGCGGACUCGAUCUGAGAAACGCGUGUUUUCAUCUGCAGCUGUGCUGUCAUGGAUCAGGGAAAACAUGCGGCGGAGGAGCAUUAUGUCUAAAUACUUGACCCCCAGGUACUGUGGACUUGGACUCCAAGAAGCAGACAGAGAAAACAUGAAUGCACUUACGGGGACACGUGUGAUGAAGGGACAAAGGACCGGGGACACACACACACGCGCUCACAGCACAGCUCGGACAUCCCUGCACGGGGAGGACUUCUAGAACCCCUUCCUGGUAAAGCAAGUGUGGAUAAAUCCGAAGACUCCAGAAUUGUUGCUG